UGAAAUCAUGAUUUAAGUUCUUUAACCUUCUUGCGUAUUUAUCUUGGUGCCUUUAUGGCUUUUUAUGAAGGAAAUUAUAGGUCAUAGUCUUAGAGGCUAGAAAUAUAAUUAAGUAAGCUCUUCCUGCAAUUUAAUAUAUUAUUGGUCGUAUAGCCGAAAAUCAGGGUGUGACAAAAAAGAUAGUGGCGACUUCCAAAGAGGUUGCGUAGCCGAAAAUCGGGGCGCGACAAAAACAAAGUGGUGACUCCCAAAGAGGUCGCGUAGCCAAAAAUCUGGGCGCGGCAAAAAAUGUAUGGCGACUCCCAGAGAGGUCGUGUAGCCAAAAAUUGAGGCGCGAUAAAAUACCUAGUGGUGACUCCCAAAGAGGUUGCGUAGCCGAAAAUCGGGGCGCGAUAAAAAAUCUAGUGGUGACUCCCAAAGAGGUCGUGUAGCCGAAAAUCAGAGCGCGACAAAAAUCAUAGUGCCGACUCCCAAAAAGAUCGGGUAGCCAAAAAUCGGAGCGCGAUAAAAAACAUAGUAACGACUCCAAGAAAAGUCGCGUAGCCGGAAAUUAUGGUGCGAAACUAUUUAUAUUACCUUU
rnacentral:lncRNA from 1 species